rnacentral:rRNA from 1 species
AGCGAACGUUAGCGGCGCGCCUAACACAUGCAAGUCGCACGAGAAACGGAGCAAUCCGCGGUACAGUGGCGCACGGGUGAGUAACACGUGGAUGACCCUUCCCUGGAGUGGUGGAUAACCUGCCGAAAGGCGGGCUAAUACAGCAUGGGACCACGACGCUUUGGCGAUGUGGUGAAAGCGGGCCUCUAUAUAUAAGCUCGCGCUCCGGGACGGGUCCGCGUCCCAUCAGCUAGUUGGUAGGGUAAUGGCCUACCAAGCCGAAGACGGGUAGCUGGUCUUAGAGGAUGAUCAGCCACACUGGAACUGAGACACGGUCCAGACUCCUACGGGAGGCAGCAGUGGGGAAUCUUGCGCAAUGGGCGAAAGCCUGACGCAGCGACGCCGCGUGGGU